rnacentral:rRNA from 1 species
UACGUAGGGUGCGAGCGUUGUCCGGAAUUAUUGGGCGUAAAGAGCUUGUAGGCGGUCUGUCGCGUCUGCUGUGAAAAUCCGGGGCUCAACCCCGGACUUGCAGUGGGUACGGGCAGACUAGAGUGUGGUAGGGGAGACUGGAAUUCCUGGUGUAGAGGUGAAAUUCGUAGAUAUCGGGAGGAACACCGGUGGCGAAGGCGGCCUGCUGGACAGCACCUGACACUGAGACGCGAAAGCGUGGGGAGCAAACAGG